CUGGGGUAGCUGCAUGCAAGCCAGGUCAAGGCUUAAAGAAUUGUAUGGUAAUUCUAGUGAGGCUGGUUUAUACCAUUUACAGGCACUGGAUGAGAAAUCUGUACACCACAGCUAUUCAUAGCAUGGGUUUACCACCUUAGGUCUCAGUGAAGUUGGGGAGACAGUGGUGUUAGGUGAAUUGCACUUGGCGCAGGCAUUGAAACAUUCAGGGGCAUAAAACCAAGACAAAAAUAUCCCCAUCUAGCUGAAGGCAAUACACACAAUUUGGGAAAAGACAAACACUCUGGGAAACUAAUGGAGGCUGGUAGAAGGCAUGUUGCAAUGGUAAAGUGCAUGUUAUGCUUUCCUUAAAAAUCAGGUAUUUAUAUGCAAUUGUCCAAUUUGGACUUUUUAUUGAAAUUUGAACAUGUGUUUUGAGUACUUUCUUCUCCCAUCACGUAAGACAUCCCUUUUAAACACAGUAAUGUGUCUCAGCCUUAGGUGAAGCCAACUUUCUCACAUUUGGCUGAAAAUCAGAGGUGUGAGGAAACAGAUAUUUGGUUAGAUUAUGACAACCAUCUGUAAAACUGAGGACUCUGUGAAUUGAAGAUCAUGACAUAAGUAGGGGAAAGAAAACAGCUCCAUACGCAUUUUCUCUUCAUUUAAGAAAAUGAAGUCUAUACUACACUUCAGGCCACUGCAGGUGAACCAUGGAAGUCUGAAUUGAUUUAAAGGUAGCUCAGGAAAAUGAAUAUGGACUGUUGUAGUCACCCUUACCUGUUGUUUCAAAUUUUCCACCCAUUUUGAUAGAAAAAAAAAGGAAAAAGUCACAUAAAUUCAGCUCUUGCAGACAUAGUAUUUUAAUGGCACUCACCAGCUACAUUUCAAAAGCUGUGCAGGCUGGUAAUAUCUACACAAGGGCGCAAAAAAGUUUAAAACAGUCAUUAUAGUGCCAGGCUAAAGCUUCCUUUCCUGAGGGGUACAUAGGAUGGCCAGCAAAGCCCCCUCCCACCGAUAACUGGAGAAACACUGCUCUGCAUUUCCUCGUGAUUUUGUCUUCUGUUUUGUAUUACUGUGGUUAUGAUUAUUAUUUCCACGGUGCUCAGGCAGCCUAAGCAAGGAUGAAAAUCCUAUUCUGUACUUCCAUACAGGUAUUUGGAAAGACAAUGCUGGUUCCAGAGAACUCUUGUUGAAAAGAGAUUGUGUUUGGAAGAUGAGCAAGGUUGUUUUCAAUACUGGGAGCCAUGGUCUGUCUCCUGCUUCUGAAAAGUUGGCUCUCUGUAGAUGGAAGUGGAAAACAACAGCUGUGAAGGAGGGAAUUUGGAGCACAAAUGAACACCAGACCCAGCUGCAGAUUUGCAUUCUUUGACAUCUGGUGCUGAGUAGACACUGGGGAAUUCUGUGACAACAUGAGAUUUUAUGCAUCUGUCAGCUAAAUCUAGCAUUUCUCUUUGGGACAUUUGCAUGGAUGAGGUUGAUCUUAGAAAGCUUUUUUAAGCCAGAACAAAAUAAAGGAAGAGGAUUGUAUCUGA